rnacentral:rRNA from 1 species
GACGGGGGGAACUAGCGUUAUCCAAAAUGAUUGGGCAUAAAGAGUUCUUAGAUUGUUUUAUAGUUUACAUGUAAAAAAAAUCAGAUUUAUUGUUUGAUAUUUCAUUGUAAUAAAAUUUAACUUGAAUAAAUUAGAGGAUGGCAGAAUUUUGUUUUAGGGGUAGAAUCCGAAAAGAAAUAAAAGAAUUUCAGUUGCUAAUGCGGCUAUCUAGAUUUUAUUGACAUUUAAAACGAAGAUGGUAUCAAACAGG